UAUAUUGAUCUGUUUUUGCUUUUCUUCUGCUAUUUGAUCUGCCUAUGGAUUUUCUUUUAAAGGUUCUGGGUUUGAAUUGGAAAAUGUGGGUUUUAUGUUUGCAAAAAGUUUUUACCAAAUCAGGUUUAUAUAUAUAUAUUUGAGUGUUCAGGCUAGCCAACUGUGUUGCUAGUCGGGAAAAUGCAGGAUAGGAAACUUCUAAAGUCCUGUGCAAUGGGAGUAGAUGUUACAGAUAUAUGUAUGGACAAGGAACCAGAUUGUGUCAUAGUUUAUGCAAAUGGUGUUUCCCAUGAUUCCAAUCACGAAAAUGUUCCCAAUCAUCAUGAUGUUUUGGAGUCCUAUGAGCCUAUCAAUGGGGUCCCUGAGGUUCAGAGUUCAGAGGAAAGCUCUGAAGCAAAGGAAUAUGAAGUGAAGGAAUGUACAACUGAAAUCUCAGUUGAGACUACUGAAGUUCCUCAUGACGAGAGAAGUAAGGACUCAAAUGUAAUAAGCUCAAAAUUUGAGGCUGGCUUGAAAAAGGAAAAGGUAAAAUCAGAAAAAGAGAAAACAAAGGAUACUAAUAAGUCUCAACCAUGUAAGAAGCAAGCAUCAAAAGCUGCUCCUUCUGGAGUAGUUCGAACAAAACACACUGUUCCACAGCCAUUUGCUUUAGCAACUGAAAAGCGUGCUUCUUGUGGAACUCGUCCUACUGGACCUGAGCUUGAUGUCCCUGCUGGUAUGAAUAAAUCAUCUAAUGCAAACAAUGUGCUACUUCCAAACACUAUAAAACAGAAUCAGCCACUUGGAGUAUCAAGAAAACCAUUGCAACCAAACAACAAGAAGCAUCCUGAUGAGGAGGAUACUUGUUCCGUCACUUCUAUUACUGCAGCAUCUGCUCGAACUAACAGGUCAAGAACAACAGUUGCAUCAGCUCCAGUAUUCAGAUGCUCUGAACGCGCUGAGAAACGGAAGGAGUUUUAUUCAAAGUUAGAGGAGAAACACCAAGCAUUGGAGGCUGAGAAAACCCAAAGUGAAGCAAGGACCAAGGUAAAAUAUUCAAGCAUCUCAAAGAAGAGAGGGAGGCAUCUAUCAAGCAACUAAGGAAAAGCUUGUUGUUUAAGGCUAACCCAAUGCCAAGUUUCUACCAUGAGGGACCACCACCUAAGAUUGAACUAAAAAAGCUUCCACCAACCCGUGCAAAAUCACCAAAGCUUGGCAGAAGAAAGAGCUCCAAUGAUACAGUAAAUCCAUCUCUGGAAGACAAAGUUAAAGGAGCUUGUGGUGAGGGAAAUUUUCAGAGCCUGGGUAGUUGCGUUGAAUAAACCAGGACUCUAGUUUCUACCAACAUAAAAAUCAGCAGGACCUCCUAAAUGAUCACGCCAUUUGCAAAACUAAAGAUGAACAUGAUCAAGUGGAAGAGGUAAACAUGUCAAUCCCAGCUAUGGUAAACGGACGGAUCAGUGUUCAAUAUUAACUUAUAAAGUUUGUGUUGUGUUCUUAAUUUAUAAGAGUCAAACCCUCGUUUGCCUGUUGUGAAUUAUGUGAAGAAUGUGUCUCUUGUUCCCUUCUUAACAAAUGCAAGGACUUGUUGCUGCAUUCAAUAUCUUGUAAUGUAUGAAGUGUAAAUUUCCUGUAAGUUAUAAUAUCUAUAUAAAGCUUCCUCAUUUUUUGUGUAA